GUGGGGAAUAUUGCACAAUGGGCGCAAGCCUGAUGCAGCGACGCCGCGUGAGGGAUGAAGGCCUUCGGGUUGUAAACCUCUUUCGUCAGGGAAGAAGCGAAAGUGACGGUACCUGAAGAAGAAGCACCGGCUAACUACGUGCCAGCAGCCGCGGUAAUACGUAGGGUGCGAGCGUUGUCCGGAAUUAUUGGGCGUAAAGAGCUUGUAGGCGGUUUGUCGCGUCUGCCGUGAAAACCUAGGGCUUAACUCUGGGCGUGCGGUGGGUACGGGCAGGCUAGAGUGUGGUAGGGGAGACUGGAAUUCCUGGUGUAGCGGUGAAAUGCGCAGAUAUCAGGAGGAACACCGAUGGCGAAGGCAGGUCUCUGGGCCAUAACUGACGCUGAGAAGCGAAAGCAUGGGGAGCGAACAGGAUUAGAUACCCUAGUAGUCC
rnacentral:rRNA from 1 species